rnacentral:rRNA from 1 species
UUUUGCGCAAUGGGCGAAAGCCUGACGCAGCAACGCCGCGUGCGGGAUGAAGGCCCUCGGGUUGUAAACCGCUUUCAGCAGGGAUGAGACUGACAGUACCUGCAGAAGAAGCCCCGGCUAACUACGUGCCAGCAGCCGCGGUAAUACGUAGGGGGCAAGCGUUACCCGGAUUUAUUGGGCGUAAAGCGCGUGUAGGCGGCUUGUUAAGUCAGAUGUGAAAACCGGGGGCUCAACCCGCGGCCUGCAUCUGAAACUGGCAGGCUUGAGUCUGGUAGAGGAAAGUGGAAUUCCUAGUGUAGCGGUGAAAUGCGCAGAUAUUAGGAGGAACACCAGUGGCGAAGGCGGCUUUCUGGGCCACGACUGACGCUGAGACGCGAAAGCUAGGGGAGCGAACAGG